rnacentral:rRNA from 1 species
CCAAUAGCGUAUAUUAAAGUUGUUGUAGUUAAAAAGCUCGUAGUUGAAUUUCGGGAUCAAUAUGUCGGUCGUGCCUCGGUACGUACUGGUGUCAUUGGUUUCUCCCUUCUGAAGAACCUUGAUGUCAUUAAUUUGGUGUCUUGGGGAAUCAGGACUGUUACUUUGAAAAAAUUAGAGUGUUUAAAGCAGGCUCGCGCUUGAAUACAUUAGCAUGGAAUAAUGAAAUAGGACGUUUGAUUCUAUUUUGUUGGUUUCUAGGAUCGACGUAAUGAUUAAUAGGGAUAGUUGGGGGCAUUAGUAUUCAAUUGUCAGAGGUGAAAUUCUUGGAUUUAUUGAAGACUAACUACUGCGAAAGCAUUUGCCAAGGAUGUUUUCAUUAAUCAAGAACGAAAGUUAGGGGAUCGAAGACGAUCAGAUACCGUCGUAGUCUUAACCAUAAACUAUGCCGACUAGGGAUCGGAUGAUGUUGAUUUUUUAAUGACUCAUUCGGCGCCUUACG